GAAGUCAUGGGUUCCAUGGUCGCAGCCAUGUUCUUCAUCUUCAUUAUUUUCAUGGCGAUAUCAUUGCCACCCAUUUACGCUUGCGGUCCUUGUACUCAGCCACAUCCACCAACACACCGCCCAACCCACCCAAAAGUUCCACACCCGAACCCACCAACCACCAAGCACCCACCACACUAUGGAGGCCGCCCACCUUCAAAAAAUCCACCAAUGCCACCGGUAGUACUACCACCAAUAAUCAUUA
rnacentral:misc_RNA from 1 species